UACAGAGGGUGCGAGCGUUAAUCGGAUUUACUGGGCGUAAAGGGCGCGUAGGCGGUUGUGUGAGUGUGAUGUGAAAGCCCCGGGCUUAACCUGGGAAGUGCAUCGCAAACGACACAGCUAGAGUAGAUGAGAGGGUGAUGGAAUUUCCGGUGUAGCGGUGAAAUGCGUAGAGAUCGGAAGGAACGUCAAUGGCGAAGGCAGUCACCUGGCAUCAUACUGACGCUGAGGCGCGAAAGCGUGGGGAUCGAACAGG
rnacentral:rRNA from 1 species